GUAGAGAAUCUUCCACAAUGGACGCAAGUCUGAUGGAGCAACGCCGCGCGAGUGAAGAAGGCUUUCGGGUCGUAAAACUCUGUUAUUGAAGAAGAACGUCGUGACAGUAACUGGUCAUGCAGUGACGGUAUUCAAUCAGAAAGUCACGGCUAACUACGUGCCAGCAGCCGCGGUAAUACGUAGGUGGCAAGCGUUGUCCGGAUUUAUUGGGCNUAAAGCGAGUGCAGGCGGUCUUUUAAGUCUGAUGUGAAAGCCUUCGGCUUAACCGAAGAAGGCAUCGGAAACUGG
rnacentral:rRNA from 1 species